UGGGGAAUUUGGACAAUGGGCGAAGCCUGAUCCAGCAAUGCCGCGUGUGUGAAGAAGGCCUUCGGGUUGUAAAGCACUUUUGUCCGGAAAGAAAUCCUUGGCUCUAAUACAGUCGGGGGAUGACGGUACCGGAAGAAUAAGCACCGGCUAACUACGUGCCAGCAGCCGCGGUAAUACGUAGGGUGCAAGCGUUAAUCGGAAUUACUGGGCGUAAAGCGUGCGCAGGCGGUUUGCUAAGACCGAUGUGAAAUCCCCGGGCUCAACCUGGGAACUGCAUUGGUGACUGGCAGGCUAGAGUAUGGCAGAGGGGGGUAGAAUUCCACGUGUAGCAGUGAAAUGCGUAGAGAUGUGGAGGAAUACCGAUGGCGAAGGCAGCCCCCUGGGCCAAUACUGACGCUCAUGCACGAAAGCGUGGGGAGCAAACAGGAUUAGAUACCCUGGUAGUCCACGCCCUAAAACGAUGUCAACUAGUUGUUGGGGAUUCAUUUCCUUAGUAACGUAGCUAACGCGUGAAGUUGACCGCCUGGGGAGUACGGUCGCAAGAUUAAAACUCAAAGGAAUUGACGGGGUCAUAGCUG
rnacentral:rRNA from 1 species